rnacentral:rRNA from 1 species
CACGUAGGGCGCAAGCGUUGUCCGGAAUUAUUGGGCGUAAAGAGCUCGUAGGCGGUCUGUUGCGUCCGCUGUGAAAUCUCGGGGCUUAACCCCGAGCCUGCAGUGGAUACGGGCAGACUAGAGGUAGGUAGGGGAGAAUGGAAUUCCCGGUGUAGCGGUGAAAUGCGCAGAUAUCGGGAAGAACACCCGUGGCGAAGGCGGUUCUCUGGGACGGUACUGACGCUGAGACGCGAAAGCGUGGGGAGCGAACAGG